GACACCUCCUCAUCAAUUAUUGGGAGUGGACCACAUCCACACUGACCUAAUUGACCUUCAACAUUGGUUCUCCACUUUUAAGAUCUUCAGUUCAGAGAAAGCUGCUCCUGGCUGAGCAUUGUUUCUGUAUGAGAAUCUGAGAAGUAAACAUAACUGACCGAAGGGGAAUUCAAUGGCUAAACACUGCAUUUGAACUGGAGUCUUGGAAACAUUCAACUCUGCUUUCAACAUUCCAUUUUUCUGUGCUCCAAUGAAGAGUAGUUCCAGUGAAGAGUGAAAUACUCCUUCCCUAAGCUAAGAAUGAUGCGUACAUGAGCAGAUGCAGUGUGAAUCAGUGUAUGAAUCUGAGAAUUGAUUUAUUUUGCUGGGAUUUUUAACCCUCUUUUUGAUCUGUCACAAUAGUUUGCUACCAGAAGGAGAAAAAAAACAAACCAAAGGGGCACUGGCAGGAAUAGACACCUCUAGAUUACUGAUUUAUGUUACAAUUGUGUGGUCCAAGGAAAUAUGAUGGAGGUUGUCAUAUCAGCCAGGGAUUCAAAUUCUUUGUUUUACUGGAUCAGCUGGGCUUGGAGUGGUCACUCUAUAUCCAGGAGAGAAUUUUUCCUAAGACUUUUUUUUUUUUUUUUUUUUUUUGCAUAAAGGACAUGGAAAAA